rnacentral:rRNA from 1 species
GAUGAACGCUGGCGACGUGCCUAAUUCAUGCAAGUCGAGCGAACGGACGAGAAGCUUGCUUCUCUGAUGUUAGCGGCGGACGGGUGAGUAACACGUGGAUAACCUACCUAUAAGACUGGGAUAACUUCGGGAAACCGGAGCUAAUACCGGAUAAUAUUUUGAACCGCAUGGUUCAAAAGUGAAAGACGGUCUUGCUGUCACUUAUAGAUGGAUCCGCGCUGCAUUAGCUAGUUGGUAAGGUAACGGCUUACCAAGGCAACGAUGCAUAGCCGACCUGAGAGGGUGAUCGGCCACACUGGAACUGAGACACGGUCCAGACUCCUACGGGAGGCAGCAGUAGGGAAUCUUCCGCAAUGGGCGAAAGCCUGACGGAGCAACGCCGCGUGAGUGAUGAAGGUCUUCGGAUCGUAAAACUCUGUUAUUAGGGAAGAACAUAUGUGUAAGUAACUGUGCACAUCUUGACGGUACCUAAUCAGAAAGCCACGGCUAACUACGUG